UACGUAGGGUGCAAGCGUUAAUCGGAAUUACUGGGCGUAAAGCGUACGCAGGCGGCUUUGCAAGACAGGUGUGAAAUCCCCGGGCCUAACCUGGGAACUGCAUUUGUGACUGCAUGGCUAGAGUUUGGCAGAGGGGGGUGGAAUUCCACGUGUAGCAGUGAACUGCGUAGAUAUGUGGAGGAACACCGGUGGCGAAGGCGGCCCCCUGGGAUGUGACUGACGCUCAUGUACGAAAGCGUGGGGAGCAAACAGG
rnacentral:rRNA from 1 species